CUUAUCACCUUGAGCAACACCAAGGCAACUCAGAUGUACUGUAGCAUACAGCAACUGCUGGUUUCUUCUGAUAUGAAUGAAUGUAAUCUGUAGACUAGAAGGCUAGAAAAGAAGGAAACUUGCGGUUUAAGUGUAUAUUGUUUGGGAUACGACAGGAUGCUACAACUGAUCAACAGAGAAAAACUAAUGAGGAAAAUGUUUCCAUCUCCAUGACCAACUGUAAAAUGUCCCAAUACCUUUUAUGGCACAUACCCAUCAACAGAGCAUACACACAGAGGCUGGAUAUUUGGGGAGGAUUCAGUGUCUACACAUUGUACAAGCUUUCAAUAGAGGUUCAAGUGAUUUCUUCACUCUUCAUCAUGGCCUUUCUGGAAGAGAAAAUAAAGACAAGAGCAGAGUUACAAAUCACCAUACAGGAUCCUGUUAGGGAAGCCCUUCCUGCAGAUCCUGAUGCCCUCCAGCACACCGUUACAGCGCAGCUGGUGCAUCACAAGAGGAUUCUCCAUGGCCCCAGGAGUCUUUGUCUCAUUGGGGAUGAUGCAGCGCACAAAAUGAGGUAACCCACUCAUUUCCUACUUUGACUCUGGGGUGACACAGAGCCUUGAUGAGAUCAGCGGAGUUCAGGCCCAUUAGCAGAAGCCAGUUUUCCAGUGGCACCAAAGUGGAUCCGGAUAAACUUGCCCUAUUUAAAAAGGCAGUGAUACACUGAAGCCAUGCCACUUAUUUUGCUACGCUAUUGACAGGAGCAAACAAAUCAGCCAUACUGUAGUACUAACUUCCCUUCUCAAAGUUGCUGGAGUGAUGACGUGGAUUCGGAUGCCCUUCUUGUAUUACCAGGUAUUUGGUCAUGUCACUGUUUGAAAUUGUUUUCAAAGUCAAUUGUCUGUUUCUUUUUUUCGUGACAGGUGACACUUGUCAAAUAUCUGACCUUUGGUGGCAUAAAUAUAUUACAUUUAAAUGAAUAAUAGUAGCCACCAAACACAGUUCUGAAGAAUGAGGAUGUGUUUAUUUUUGGAACGAAACAUCUAAUAGGCUGAAGUGUGAAGUAAACAUACAUGCCUUUAUAAGUGAGAGCAAUAGAAACCCUACAUGCUUUACCAAGUGAUAACAACAACAAGGCAGAGGUCAGUCCACUUAAUAGUGCAAGUGUAAGUGAUGAGUAUUAAAUCUACUCUCCUUAACACCCUCCUUAGUUUACAGGGAAGUAUUCUAGACUUCCUUUGCCUGUGAAAGAAAUAUGAUGCAACUUUAAUGAAUCAUUCCAAUUGAACUGGGAAAUACCUAACCAGAAGAAGCACUUAAUCAAUUCCACUCUUGACGUACUUGAUUAACAAGAAUGAAGGAGUGCACAAGGGAUGCAAGGGGUGUUUUGCUUGUAACAAAAGGCAAUAAUUUAAUUCUUCUUUGGCAGAAGAAGCCUAAACUUGACAUAAUCCACACUUCCCCUAAAUUUAAAGGUGAAAAUGACAUGAAAGUCUGACUGUAUUGUACGUCAAAAACAUGUUAUACGCUUACUUAUUUAAAGAACAUGACAAUUUCCUGCUAAUCACUUAUUGCUAGUGUACACCCUCAAUAAAAACCACAAAACCACAAGAUGUCAGUGGUUAUUUGUUGUUGUUUUUUGUGUGUGCAGCGAGUAAGAAUAAGAAAAUAGCAAGGGUCUGUAAUCCUAACCGUAUGUUUCUACUAUCUCACAAGAACAAGGAUUGCGAGUUCAUAGUUUAAAGUCCACCUAGAUAAAGCCACUGCGAAGCAGAAGAAAUAAACAAAUAAGUGUCUUUACCAGGCCUACUUAGUGAAUUGGCUUUGUAUUAGUUCUGAUGACUAUUUUGCCUGAAAAGCUUAGUUUUCACCAGUGUCUCUUGUUAUCUAACUUGUGUAGUCUCAUAUCUGUUAAUUGCUACAAUUCUCCCCUUUGUUGAAGGCAUUUCCCUGUUCUCUAAGAUCUGAAUCUUUCUGCUGUCUUUGUCACACCAAAAUGCUUUGUUCUGUACCCUCUUGCAUUCAGAACAGUCAGCCAACCAGAGACAGACCAGCCAUGAGCCUAACACUGUUCUCUGUCACUACAAUAGUGAAAAUAAACCAAAUAAACCUUAUCUUCAAUAAA